AGUGAACGCUGGCGGUAGGCCUAACACAUGCAAGUCGAACGGCAGCACAGUAAGAGCUUGCUCUUACGGGUGGCGAGUGGCGGACGGGUGAGGAAUACAUCGGAAUCUACUUUUUCGUGGGGGAUAACGUAGGGAAACUUACGCUAAUACCGCAUACGACCUACGGGUGAAAGCAGGGGAUCUUCGGACCUUGCGCGAUUGAAUGAGCCGAUGUCGGGUUAGCGAGUUGGCGGGGUAAAGGCCCACCAAGGCGACGAUCCGUAGCUGGUCUGAGAGGAUGAUCAGCCACACUGGAACUGAGCCACGGUCCAGACUCCUACGGGAGGCAGCAGUGGGGAAUAUUGGACAAUGGGCGCAAGCCUGAUCCAGCCAUACCGCGUGGGUGAAGAAGGCCUUCGGGUUGUAAAGCCCUUUUGUUGGGAAAGAAAAGCAGCAGGUUAAUACCCCGCUGUUCUGACGGUACCCAAAGAAUAAGCACCGGCUAACUUCGUG
rnacentral:rRNA from 1 species